AUUGAACGCUGGCGGCAGGCCUAACACAUGCAAGUCGAGCGGCAGCGGAAAGUAGCUUGCUACUUUGCCGGCGAGCGGCGGACGGGUGAGUAAUGUCUGGGACACUGCCUGAUGGAGGGGGAUAACUACUGGAAACGGUAGCUAAUACCGCAUAAUGUCGCAAAACCAAAGAGGGGGACCUUCGGGCCUCUUGCCAUCAGAUGUCCCCAGAUGGGAUUAGCUAGUAGGUGGGGUAACGGCUCACCUAGGCGACGAUCCCUAGCUGGUCUGAGAGGAUGACCAGCCACACUGGAACUGAGACACGGUCCAGACGCCUACGGGAGGCAGCAGUGGGGAAUAUUGCACAAUGGGCGCAAGCCUGAUGCAGCCAUGCCGCGUGUAUGAAGAAGGCCUUCGGGUUGUAAGGUACUUUCAGCGGGGAGGAAGGUGUUGUGGUUAAUAACCACAGCAAUUGACGUUACCCGCAGAAGAAGCACCGGCUAACUCCGUGCCAGCCGCCGCCGUAA
rnacentral:rRNA from 1 species